GGGUAUGCAGAAUAGCUAAGUAGAGCAACAAGGAAACAUAGUAUCACAUACAGAUAGACUAUACUCCUACACAUGAUACUAAGCAUGGAAACGUCUGAGUAGAGUAUAAUCAAACAACGUGGGUGUAAUGUAAACGAUAGAGGUGCAAAGCUCAACAUAUAAUAUAUGCAUGGAUAAUAACAAAACAGAAAGGGUAAGAAACCAUCACCGAGCGUGCACCACGGUACCAACGUCGGAUCGAAGUACCCACCUGUACGUAUCUGACGAAGGUCUCUCGACUGUGAAGACGGUGCGACCGAACCUACGAAAGGUCCAACGGGUUAAGAUCUAACCCACUGACAUGUAAUGCUAACUCACAACCCCCGCUCACCAGAACCACGACCGGUUUCCCAAAACCGAUUACCAAAUAAGCCGGAAGUCCCGAAAACCGCACCGGAGCUUCAUCGUCGCUCACCCAUCAUUUCCGAACCCUCAAAAUGACGCGGGUGACCAGCCAACAAGGCUUAGCGACGCAACAAUCAACCACAAGGCGCCGUCGGAUGAAUUCCGAACCGAAACAGCGUUCUAUCGGUGGAUUUCGCCGAAGAACGCUCCAAAAACUACUUUUCGAUUUUCGCAAGGGCUUGGGGCCUCGGACAAUCAGUCCAGAGGUUAUCCUCAGCCCAAACAUGCUGCCAACAGCAGCCACAACGAAGCAACCAUCCUAAAAGCCCAUAUCGAUACAUGAAAUCGCAACAUUUUAUGUGUUUUCUAGGCUUUUUUGGACCGUGUACGCAACCCAGAGGUCGAUUAAUCCGACCGUCACACUCGCUGAUAGGUUUCAGCAUGUCGGAGGCCGUGCUCACCUUUCGGAGCGCUGCCGGCCACUGCGGUGCGCGCACGAGCGACGCGAAGUUCUGUUAAACAGUGCGCACAGCGCUAAAAUCGUGACUAACUCACUAACCAGGGCAUCUUUGCCACUGUCGGAGGUGAGCACGAUGUUCAGCACGAACCCUAGAUCAUCGUGCUCACUUUUCGGGGUUUAGGAGGCUUAUCGGAUCACCGGAAAGGUGACCGGAACCUCGAAAAAUAGUGCUGGAACAUAAAAUACCCUUACCAGACCCGAGGAGAGCUAGGGUUGGUCGCCGGCGGCCGGGAGGCGGGCGGUCCGGCCGGAGGAGGGAGCACUCGGUCCGAGAGGUCCGAGGAGGGUGCUGGCCGGCGGCAGGCGGCAACCGGUGGCGCGGCAGCGGAGAUCGAGUCCACACACUCCCUCUCGGGUUCAAACUUCCCGGCGGCGCGGCGGCGGCCGGAGAAGGUCGGGGCGGCUACGGUGCGGCGCCGGAGGCCAAGGGGAAGGCGGUGCACCCCUCGGUGGGCGGCGGCGGCGCUUAGAAACUGAACGGACUCGGCCUCAGCCUGCACGGUUCCAGGCGGCCGCAGGAUGUUGCAGCGGCGGCCGGCGGCGCGCGGGGACGGCGGGGGACGCGCGCGCCGGGCUGCCGGAGGUCGCCGGGGCCGACAGGAGGGCGGCACGGCCGAGAUAAGGCGUGAACGCCGAGUUCGAACCGGCUCGGUUUGGG
rnacentral:lncRNA from 1 species